rnacentral:tRNA from 1 species
GUGGGUAUAGCUCAGUGGUAGAACGUAGCCUUAGCAUGCACAAGGUCCUGGGUUCAAUUCCCUGUACCUCCA